rnacentral:rRNA from 1 species
UACGGAGGGUGCGAGCGUUAAUCGGAAUUACUGGGCGUAAAGCGUGCGUAGGUGGUUAUUUAAGUUAUCUGUGAAAUCCCUGGGCUUAACCUGGGGACGCCACCCGAUACUGCCGUGGCUAGAGUCCGGUAGGGGAGCGUGGAAUUCCUGGUGUAGCGGUGAAAUGCGCAGAUAUCAGGAGGAACACCAGCGGCGAAGGCGGCGCUCUGGGCCGGAACUGACGCUGAGGAGCGAAAGCGUGGGUAGCAAACAGG